CUGCUGGGAGGGGAUGGCGCAGCACCAACUGCUGGGUACCCCCCUUUUGUCCCCACUCCCAGCACCCCCGCAUCCCACUCCAGCUCAGGAGGCGGCCUCUCCCAGCGGACGCUGAACCCCAGGAGCGGUGCGGGGGCGAGAUUGAGUGAGCAAUGGAAUAACCAGAAGCUAAGACACCUGGCAAAAAACAAACUGAAUUCUAACUCUGAAAGAACUGAUGAGGACCUUGCUAUGCCUGCAGAGAGAAGGACUCUCCUUUUCUAAAUGAAUUGAUGGACUUCCUGCAUUAUUAAAUCGCCCUAUUAAUCAUCAAAAACCACUCCAUGAGGGAUGAGUUGGAAGACAGAACUGCGAGAACAUGUUUUAACUGUGUUCUGACAAGCAUGAAUGGAGAUCUGGAAAUCUACAUUUAUUUAAAGAACAUUUACAAGAUAAGUUGUGUAGGAGCUGUAAUGUAUCUCUCAAUCAGGUCCACUGAUUAAAAAAAUGUGAAUACCUCUCCUUACUUAUUAACCUCUAGAAUUACAUACUUUUGAUUGAGUAUUGAACAUAUUAAUCCAUAUUUUUCCAACUAAGUUUAUAAACUAAUUCUUCAUGAAGGAGUAAAUGUUACUAAAAUAUUUAUUAAGUUAUAUUUUAUUUCUAACUUUGUAUCAUGCUAGUCUUUAUUCAAAUGUCUUUAUACACAGCCAAUUUAAAAAAUAAGAUAAAUUAACAAUUUCUUAGAAGUGUGGCACCUGCUAUAUUUUACAGAGCUAUUUGGACCCAAUGUUCAAUGUAGACCAACACAAUUGUCAAAUAGAGUGUACAUUUACUCUAACAAGAAGCAAUAAUUUCAGUUAAAAAAACUGUAGUUCAAUAAAAUUUUAAUAAAAUUAA